UACGUAGGGGGCAAGCGUUGUCCGGAAUCAUUGGGCGUAAAGAGCGUGUAGGCGGCCCGAUAAGUCCGCUGUGAAAGUCCAGGGCUCAACCCUGGGAUGCCGGUGGAUACUGUCGGGCUCGAGUCCGGAAGAGGAGUGUGGAAUUCCUGGUGUAGCGGUGAAAUGCGCAGAUAUCAGGAGGAACACCGGUGGCGAAGGCGGCUUGCUGGGCCUUACCUGACGCUGAGGAGCGAAAGCGUGGGGAGCGAACAGG
rnacentral:rRNA from 1 species